GUAGAAGAUAUGAGAAAUGGAAAAGAGGAAAGGUUACGUAAGGUUAGUGACUAGAAAUAGGAGAGGCAGAAGAAAAGUAGAAGGGAAAGAGGAAAGGUUACGUUAGGUUAAGGAGAGGUAGAAGAAAAAAGUAGAAGGAAAAGAGGAAAGGUUACGUUAGGUUAAGGAGAGGUAGAAGAAAAAAGUAGAAGGAAAAGAGGAAAGGUUACGUUAGGUUAAGGAGAGGUAGAAGAAAAAAGUAGAAGGAAAAGAGGAAAGGUUACGUUAGGUUAAGGAGAGGUAGAAGAAAAAAGUAGAAGGAAAAGAGGAAAGGUUACGUUAGGUUAAGGAGAGGUUGAAGAAAAAAGUAGAAGGGAAAGAGGAAAGGUUACGUUAGGUUAAGGAGAGGUAGAAGAAAAAAGUAGAAGGAAAAGAGGAAAGGUUACGUUAGGUUAAGGAGAGGUAGAAGAAAAAAGUAGAAGGAAAAGAGGAAAGGUUACGUUAGGUUAAGGAGAG